GUUACCAGCUCCCAUCCUGCCGGCCGGGGGUCUGCCCCAUCUCGGACCUCCCUUCUCCAGUUCCCACCCGUGACCAGCUGGGCGCCUGGAGGGUGGCCAAGGGGACUGCCGUGGGCUGCCUGCCCUGGCCUGGUAUGGCCCGGCGGUCUGUGGGGACCGAGGCUUGGGUUACUGAGUAACGCGGGGGUGCAUGCAGCUGCUCUCCACGGGGGUCACCUCCUCCUGGCUCCCUGUUCUCUCGGCUCAGGAAUCCCCAAAGCCACCUGGCUCCUGUAGCUCCCUGAGCUAUUUGCAGCAUCAUGGGAGCCAAUGGGAGACAAGUGGCAAAGCACCAGAGCCUGUCAGACUCGUGUUGGUGUGUUCCUUCACCCUCCAGAGCCUCAGCGGGGCCCCGGGCAAGUACUGAGUCCUCUGGAUCGGGUUCCUCAUCUGUAGGACCGGUUUCGAGGAGCCCCGAGUGGACGUCGAGUGCCGGCGUCUUGUAAGCUUCGGCAAGUGUGGCCAUCAGUACUGUCUGGAGUGGCUGAGCAGACAGAACAGACGACUGACUCCAGCACACCGUGGGGCACACGGUGACUCGGGACAGCAACAGGCGGAGGGGCAGCCUCCACGCAUGCUCCUGUCGGAACUGGAGGGGGCCAGGUGCUGUGCUGGAUUCUGGGGUUCUGGGGGAUUUCCCCGACACUCCGCCGCCCCCGCACGGGACAGAACCGCACUCUGCUCUCAGGACGCCAAGACGGAGGAGACGAUCUCUCAGUUGCUAGGGCUUGACAGUAGCCCUGUUUCCAAAGUACAAUCCUAGCCUUUCCUGCUGGGGGUCUGGGGUGAAUUCCCGACAGUAAAAGUUUUGGGAGACAGCGAAGUGCAGAAGGGAGAGAACCCACCUCCCAAGGGCUGUUGUGAGGAUGAAUGUCCAUGAAGCACGUGACCCGCAGGGUGUCCUCAGCAGCAGAGCUCAUGGUAAUUACUGCUGUUAAUAAGGAAACACGCAAGUAAACGGGGCUGCUGGUUCUAGGAAGCUCCUGGCUGCAGAAGAGGGACUGGACUGGGCCGUGAACACCGGAAAAUUUCGCCUCAUCUAGUGCACCCUUAGGACGUGGGCUGCCUGCUCCGGGUCUCCGUCCUGCAGGCCUGCCAGCACACCAGGCCCCUGAGACACAGGCGGGAUGUGAAAUCUGGAGCUCUUGAUGCUGCUCUUUCCCCGCAUUCCAUAGGAAAAGAAGGCCUCUGUGGAAAGAGGACCCAGUCUCAAGAGUAAGUUGCCAACACAUCUGUAAGAAAGUGACGACCCAGUGUGGCUCACGUGGCUAAGCUAACCUCAUGUGUCCUCUUCUCAAUGACUGGAAAUUUAUGGCUGGACUUGACCCCUCACUAAAGCUAAACUGACUUCCCAGUGGAGAAAUUUACAGAUGCUGUGUCUUGGUGUUUCAAGUUCGAAGCUGGUAGUCAGUCGUUCUCUGCAGUAGAGCUCAGAUUCACCCACUCUGUCCUGAGGACAUUACCUGUCUUCAUUUCUAAGCCCUUUAUCCAGCCCAUGGUAGUUUCACAUCCGAUUAUCAAUUUAUGCAGGUCUCUCAAGUGCCAUUCUC